CCUACGGGAGGCAGCAGUAGGGAAUCUUCCACAAUGGGCGAAAGCCUGAUGGAGCAACGCCGCGUGGGUGAAGAAGGUCUUCGGAGCGUAAAACCCUGUUGUUAGAGAAGAAAGGGCGUGAGAGUAACUGUUCACGUUUCGACGGUAUCUAACCAGAAAGCCACGGAUAACUACGUGCCAGCAGGCGCGGGAAUACGUCGGUGGCAAGUGUUAUCCGGAUUUAUUGGGAGUAAAGGGAACGCAGGCGGUCUUUUAAGUCUGAUGUGCAAGCCUUCGGCUUAACCGGAGUAGUGCAUUGGAAACUGGGAUACGUGAGUGCAGAAGAGGAGAGUGGAACUCCAUGUGUAGCGGUGAAAUGCGUAGAUAUAUGGAAGAACACCAGUGGCGAAUGCGGCUCUCUGGUCUGUAACUGACGCUGAGGUUCGAAAGCGUGGGUAGCAAACAGGAUGAGAUACCCUGGUAGUC
rnacentral:rRNA from 1 species